rnacentral:rRNA from 1 species
UACAGAGGGUGCAAGCGUUGCUCGGAAUCACUGGGCGUAAAGGGUGCGUAGGCGGGUCUUUUAAGUCAGGGGUGAAAUCCUGGAGCUCAACUCCAGAACUGCCUUUGAUACUGGCGAUCUUGAGUCCGGAAGAGGCGAGUGGAAUUCCCGGUGUAGCGGUGAAAUGCGCAGAUAUCGGGAGGAACACCAAUGGCGAAGGCAGCUCGCUGGGACGGUACUGACGCUGAGACGCGAAAGCGUGGGGAGCAACAGG